UAGGGAAUCUUCGGCAAUGGGGGGAACCCUGACCGGGCAACGCCGCGUGAGUGAAGAAGGUUUUCGGAUCGUAAAGCUCUGUUGUUAAGGAAGAACGAGUGUGAGAAUGGAAAGUUCAUACUGUGACGGUACUUAACCAGAAAGGGACGGCUAACUACGUGCCAGCAGCCGCGGUAAUACGUAGGUCCCGAGCGUUGUCCGGAUUUAUUGGGCGUAAAGCGAGCGCAGGCGGUUAGAUAAGUCUGAAGUUAAAGGCAGUGGCUCAACCAUUGUAGGCUUUGGAAACUGUUUAACUUGAGUGCAGAAGGGGAGAGUGGAAUUCCAUGUGUAGCGGUGAAAUGCGUAGAUAUAUGGAGGAACACCGGUGGCGAAAGCGGCUCUCUGGUCUGUAACUGACGCUGAGGCUCGAAAGCGUGGGGAGCGAACAGGAUUAGAUACCCUGGUAGUCCACGCCGUAACGAUGAGUGCUAGGUGUUAGGUCCUUUCCGGGACUUAGUGCCGCAGCUAACGCAUUAAGCACUCCGCCUGGGGAGUACGACCGCAAGUAUG
rnacentral:rRNA from 1 species